AGAAAUGGAACAACUAGAUAAGUUGCAGAUUUCUGAAGCCAAAAAGCAGAAUCAAUAUGAGUUGUAGAAAUACUAAGUAACAACCAACACUAGAAUGCUGAAUCAGAUGAUUUCUUCAGGUCAUUCCCUGCUAGAAGAUAAUGUUCCUUCCAUUCGUACAUGAUUUCUGCUGCAAUUCCUGCUGUCCAGAGUUUCUGGAUAAUAUUGAUGGCCCUUGACAUGGACAUCUGACCAACACUUACAACUAGAAGAUUCUGAAGCAUCCUACACCUGGACUUUUGAUGCUCACCCCACAAUCAUCCAACUCGAACAAGAGUUGGGAGGGUGCUAAGGCUCAGAAAGAGUUCUUAUUUCUCUGAAGUCAGAAUCACGUCACGACUCUUCGCUUUGUCCUCUGCUGUUCAUUGAACUGUAGGAGGGUGCAUUAUUAUGUCACAGUUCAAUUUGUUGAAGUAGUGAGACAAUUAGAGACAAAGCCCUAUAGCCCAAGAAUUAUUCCCUAAUCUCCAAGGUAGCUCAGAAUUAAGAUAGGGAACAAACAAUGUGCCAGAAAAGAAAAAGCUGCCUUCUAGUUCUGAAAAGGAGCUGAAAAGAACUUAGGAAAAUGCAAGUGAAUUUUCUUAGACCUGCCCACUAGUCUAGUACCAUACAGUUUAUUUCAGGAGACUGUGACUAGUACUCUAUCUUGGCAUAGCCAGGGGGGUUGUACCAAAGCAUUGUCUAACAAAAAGGGGCUGAAAAAGAACGUGACUAGUGACCAGGAAAGAACACGAUGAUUAUAGUACAUUAAAAAGAACCAUGGAGAGACAUUCUUUGGGAUCACAGUGUUAGUUCCACCCCCUCCCUUAAUACAGUGAGUUGCCAUGGUACCCGUUAACAUUCAUGGGGGAAAAAAAAACAAAACUGAGUUUGAAAGGUAGUAUAAAGUGCUCUUACCUUGCUAGAAAAGAAUAUGGUGACAUUUUAUGGCAUGAUAGAUUAUAGAGUAAGCUGUAAUAAUGUGCUAUAUACUGUUAGAAG